rnacentral:tRNA from 1 species
GGAGAGGUGCCCGAGUGGUUUAAGGGGUACGCCUGGAGAGCGUAUAUAUCCGUAAGGGUAUCAUGGGUUCAAAUCCCAUCCUCUCCG